rnacentral:piRNA from 1 species
UGGGUUACAGAAUGAAGAUGAGGGGAGGA